rnacentral:rRNA from 1 species
UACGUAGGGGGCAAGCGUUGUCCGGAUUUAUUGGGCGUAAAGAGCGUGUAGGCGGCCAGACAGGUCCGUUGUGAAAACUGGAGGCUCAACCUCCAGACGUCGAUGGAAACCGUCUGGUUAGAGUCCGGAAGAGGAGAGUGGAAUUCCUGGUGUAGCGGUGAAAUGCGCAGAUAUCAGGAAGAACACCCGUGGCGAAAGCGGCUCUCUGGGACGGUACUGACGCUGAGACGCGAAAGCGUGGGGGAGCAAACAGG